rnacentral:rRNA from 1 species
AGUGAACGCUGGCGGUAGGCCUAACACAUGCAAGUCGAACGGCAGCACAGUAAGAGCUUGCUCUUACGGGUGGCGAGUGGCGGACGGGUGAGGAAUACAUCGGAAUCUACUUUUUCGUGGGGGAUAAAGUAGGGAAACUUACGCUAAUACCGCAUACGACCUACGGGUGAAAGUAGGGGAUCUUCGGACCUUGCGCGAUUGAAUGAGCCGAUGUCGGAUUAGCUAGUUGGCGGGGUAAAGGCCCACCAAGGCGACGAUCCGUAGCUGGUCUGAGAGGAUGAUCAGCCACACUGGAACUGAGACACGGUCCAGACUCCUACGGGAGGCAGCAGUGGGGAAUAUUGGACAAUGGGCGCAAGCCUGAUCCAGCCAUACCGCGUGGGUGAAGAAGGCCUUCGGGUUGUAAAGCCCUUUUGUUGGGAAAGAAAAGCAGCAGGUUAAUACCCCGCUGUUCUGACGGUACCCAAAGAAUAAGCACCGGCUAACUUCGUG